CGGGGUGCACCAGGCGCGAAAACUUUGCAAUGCGGGAAACCGUGACAAGGGAACUCUGAGUGCCCGUAAAAUCGGGCUGUCCAUCGGUUUAAAUAACCGGUGAAGAAAGGGCCGGGCAAGACCGGUGCCAGCCGCCGCGGUAAUACCGGCGGCUCGAGUGGUGGCCACUAUUACUGGGCUUAAAGCGUUCGUAGCUGGUUUGUUAAGUCUCUGGGGAAAUCUUCCGGCUUAACCGGAAGGCGUCUCAGGGAUACUGGCAGACUAGGGACCGGGAGAGGUGAGAGGUACUCCAGGGGUAGGAGUGAAAUCCUGUAAUCCUUGGGGGACCACCUGUGGCGAAGGCGUCUCACCAGAACGGCUCCGACAGUGAGGGACGAAAGCUGGGGGAGCAAACCGGAUUAGAUACCCGGGUAGUCCCAGCUGUAAACGAUGCGCGUUAGGUGUAUCGGUGACCACGAGUCACCGAGGUGCCGAAGAGAAAUCGUGAAACGUGCCGCCUGGGAAGUACGGUCGCAAGGCUGAAACUUAAAGGAAUUGGCGGGGGAGCACAAGGGCGAAUCGCG
rnacentral:rRNA from 1 species